GACAGAGGGUGCGAGCGUUGCCCGGAUUUAUUGGGCGUAAAGGGCGCGUAGGCGGCCACGCACGUCCGUUGUGAAAUCGCCCGGCUCAACUGGGCGGGGUCAGCGGAUACGGUGUGGCUCGAGCAAGCUAGGGGGCAAUGGAAUUCCCGGUGUAGUGGUGGAAUGCGUAGAUAUCGGGAGGAACACCAGUGGCGAAGGCGGUUGCCUGGAGCUCUGCUGACGCUGAGGCGCGAAAGCGUGGGGAGCGAACAGG
rnacentral:rRNA from 1 species